CAGCCGCCGCGGUAAUACCGGCGGCCCGAGUGGCGGUCACUAUUAUUGGGCUUAAAGCGUCCGUAGCCGGGUUGGGAAGUCCUCCGGGAAAUCUGGCCGCUUAACGGUCAGAAUGCCGGAGGAUACUCCCAGCCUAGGGAGCGGGAGAGGCCGAGGGGAUUCCCGGGGUAGGGGUGAAAUCCUAUAAUCCCGGGAGGACCACCGGUGGCGAAGGCGCUCGGCUGGAACGCGUCCGACGGUGAGGGACGAAGGCCAGGGGAGCAAACCGGAUUAGAUACCCGGGUAGUCCUGGCUGUAAACGAUGCGGACUUUGUGUCGGACAAGCUAUGAGCUUGUCCGGUGCCGGAGGGAAACCGUUAAGUCCGCCGCCUGGGGAGUACGGCCGCAAGGCUGAAACUUAAAGGAAUUGGCGGG
rnacentral:rRNA from 1 species